UCGAGUUACUCCGGAACACAGUGUUUAUUCUGUGUUUAGUCACGCCGCGUCAAAAAUGUUCCACAGGGUUACUUCCGGUUUAUCGUUGUUUACCUUUGUUUACCAACAGUCGACACUUCGUGUAUUAGGCCUAGGCUUAAUUUUGUCGAUCAUCAUGAAAUUGAAAUACAUAUGUAAUAGUUUGGGGUGUAUGCGGUACAUAUUUGUUUAUGAGCGUUUGAUAAGCUACUAUUGAUCUACGAAAUACAACGAAAGACUUCGUCAAGAACAGAAUUAAGAAGACGAUGUCGUGUAACUCACACAAGGCCCAGCUGUCUAGUAACCGGAGGGGUAAAGGAAAAGAACGUAUUAGACUCACUGUAACCUGUCAAACAGGUAUAUGGGAACAGGAUCAUUUUCCAUGCCUUUCACUUGAGGUCUUCAGUUUCAUCAUUAAUCAUCUGAAUGUCGGUAUGCCAAACUCUCAUGAUGUCAUGCCAUUACUGGAUAUUCCUUAACACUGGUUUAUUUAAGCCACACUACCUAUAACAUCGCCAAAAUAUUAGACUGAAAAUUUUCAAAUACACAAGAUUUGAAGCAGCAAAAGAAAAGAAUUACAUAUGUAUAACACACAAAAAAGAAGAAAUUAAUUCUCACCUGGCUUAUAUGAACUUUUUACUCCUUUUUAGCUCCCUUUCACUGCAUACCAGCCUAUAACUAGCAGUCAUUAUAUGCAGAUCAGCCAUUGUUAUCAACCUGUGUAUAUAUAUGUUGAAUAAAAUAUGAAUGAAAA